UGAGUAACCUGCCCCUCACUCUGGGAUAAGCACUGGAAACGGUGUCUAAUACCGGAUACGAACUUCGGCCGCAUGGUCAGGAGUUGGAAAGAAUUUUGGUGGGGGAUGGACUCGCGGCCUAUCAGCUUGUUGGUGAGGUAAUGGCUCACCAAGGCGACGACGGGUAGCCGGCCUGAGAGGGUGACCGGCCACACUGGGACUGAGACACGGCCCAGACUCCUACGGGAGGCAG
rnacentral:rRNA from 1 species